UACGUAGGGUGCAAGCGUUAAUCGGAAUUACUGGGCGUAAAGCGUGCGCAGGCGGUUUUGUAAGUCUGUCGUGAAAUCCCCGGGCUCAACCUGGGAAUGGCGAUGGAGACUGCAAGGCUAGAAUCUGGCAGAGGGGGGGUAGAAUUCCACGUGUAGCAGUGAAAUGCGUAGAUAUGUGGAGGAACACCGAUGGCGAAGGCAGCCCCCUGGGCUAAGAUUGACGCUCAUGCACGAAAAGCGUGGGGGAGCAAACAGG
rnacentral:rRNA from 1 species